AUUGAACGCUGGCGGCAGGCCUAACACAUGCAAGUCGAACGAGUGGCGGACGGGUGAGUAAUGUCUGGGAAACUGCCCGAUGGAGGGGGAUAACUACUGGAAACGGUAGCUAAUACCGCAUACCAUCGGAUGUGCCCAGAUGGGAUUAGCUAGUAGGUGGGGUAACGGCUCACCUAGGCGACGAUCCCUAGCUGGUAUGAGAGGAUGAUCAGACACAUUGGAACUGAGACACGGGCCAGACUCCUACGUGAGGAAGCAGUGGGGAAUAUUGCACAAUGGGCGAAAGCCUGAUGCAGCAAUGCAGCGUGUAUGAAGAAGGCCUUCGGGUUGUAAAGUACUUUCAGCGAGGAGGCGUUACUCGCAGAAGAAGCACCGGCUAACUCCGUGCCAGCAGCCGCGGUAAUUC
rnacentral:rRNA from 1 species